AUUGAACGCUGGCGGCAGGCUUAACACAUGCAAGUCGAGCGGUAACAGAGAUAGCUUGCUAUCUGCUGACGAGCGGCGGACGGGUGAGUAAUGCUUGGGAAUAUGCCUUAUGGUGGGGGACAGCAGUUGGAAACGACUGCUAAUACCGCAUAACGUCUACGGACCAAAGGGGGGGAUUCUUCGGAACCUCUCGCCAUUUGAUUAGCCCAAGUGAGAUUAGCUAGUAGGUGAGGUAAGAGCUCACCUAGGCGACGAUCUCUAGCUGGUUUGAGAGGAUGAUCAGCCACACUGGGACUGAGACACGGCCCAGGCUCCUACGGGAGGCAGCAGUGGGGAAUAUUGCACAAUGGGCGAAAGCCUGAUGCAGCCAUGCCGCGUGUGUGAAGAAGGCCUUCGGGUUGUAAAGCACUUUCAGCGAGGAGGAAAGGUUAGUAUUUAAUAAAUGCUAGCUGUGACGUUACUCGCAGAAGAAGCACCGGCUAACUUCGUGCCAGCAGCCGCGGUAAUACGAGGGGUGCAAGCGUUAAUCGGAAUUACUGGGCGUAAAGCGUGCGUAGGUGGUUUGUUAAGCAAGAUGUGAAAGCCCUGGGCUCAACCUUGGAACUGCAUUUUGAACUGGUAGACUAGAGUACUGUAGAGGGUGGUGGAAUUUCCAGUGUAGCGGUGAAAUGCGUAGAGAUUGGAAGGAACAUCAGUGGCGAAGCGGCCACCUGGACAGAUACUGACGCUGAGGAACGAAAGCGUGGGGAGCGAACAGGAUUAGAUACCCUGGUAGUCCACGCCGUAAACGAUGUCAACUAGCCGUUUGUGGACUUGAUCCGUGAGUGGCGCAGCUAACGCACUAAG
rnacentral:rRNA from 1 species